rnacentral:rRNA from 1 species
CCUACGGUAGGCAGCAGUGAGGAAUAUUGGUCAAUGGACGAGAGCCUGAACCAGCCAAGUAGCGUGAAGGAUGACUGCCCUACGGGUUGUAAACUUCUUUUAUAAGGGAAUAAAAUGAGCCACGUGUGCUUUUUUGUAUGUAUCUUAUGAAUAAGGAUCGGCUAACUCCGUGCCAGCAGCCGCGGUAAUCCGGAGGAUCCGAGCGUUAUCCGGAUUUAUUGGGUUUAAAGGGAGCGUAGGUGGAUUGUUAAGGCAGUUGUGAAAGUUUGCGGCUCAACCGUAAAAGUGCAAUUGAUACUGGCAGUCUUGAGUACAGUGGAGGUAGGCGGAAUUCGUGGUGUAGCGGUGAAAUGCUUAGAUAUCACGAAGAACUCCGAUUGCGAAGGCAGCCUACUGAACUGCAACUGACACUGAGGCUCGAAAGUGUGGGUAUCAAACAGGAUUAGAUACCCUAGUAGUC